UACGUAGGGUCCGAGCGUUGUCCGGAAUUAUUGGGCGUAAAGGGCUCGUAGGCGGUCCGUCACGUCGGGAGUGAAAACUCAGGGCUCAACCCUGAGCGUGCUUCCGAUACGGGCGGACUAGAGGUAUGCAGGGGAGAACGGAAUUCCUGGUGUAGCGGUGGAAUGCGCAGAUAUCAGGAGGAACACCGGUGGCGAAGGCGGUUCUCUGGGCCGAUACUGACGCUGAGGAGCGAAAGCGUGGGGAGCGAACAGG
rnacentral:rRNA from 1 species